GGGCACUGUAAAGAGGGAGUAGUAUUUGAUAAUCACAAACCCAAUAGCUGCUGCGUUUCCGUCCCCAAAUAUCUGACGCUAAUGGAAAAGGGCUCCGACAGAAAACCGCCCCUUCCUCCCCGUCGUCGUCAAAGAAUGGAUGAGAAGGCCUCCGCCGCCGCCAGAAAACCGCCCCUCCCUCCCCGUCGUCAAAGAGUGGAUGCAAAGGGUUCCGCCGCCGCCAGAAACCCGCCCCUCCCUCUUCGUCGAAAAAGAAAAUCGGGUGAAACACCAGAUCGUUCUUUGGUUGCCGAUCAGCUGCGCCUUAGGGAUAGAUAUGUCAAAAUCACAUCUAAGAUAUGUGUAUCAAGGGUGAGGGAUAUGUACAAUGUGCGAGCAGACUGGCCCGAUGAUUUUAAUGUUGAUUUAGCUCUAUACUUGAUAACCAAGGUUCAAUCUAUUGAGCAUGAUCAUCAUGAUCAGGCUGCCUUAUCCCUCCUAAAGGAUGGUCCUUUACGUAUAUGGUUUCCCUUCUUCCGGGACUUCGCACUAUCGCUCCUUUCCCUCUGCAAGGUCGACGGAAAUUUGUGGGCUGAUCGUUUGACUCAGCAUCUCAUUCAAUAUAUUGGAAUGAAGCUUCAGUCAUCCACCAAGCAACCUGACGCUGAUGCUGAUGCUGACGAUGCUAGCCCCUCAAAGAAACUCAAGGGAUCAUAGAUUUUGAUCAAAUAUGUAGUAGUAAUUUUCUUGUGGCUAUCUAUCUUGACAAUGUUAUCUUCUAUUAGGUUCCUACUCAUCUUCGGUAUUUUGAUUCUCUAUUACUUUGUAUGGUGGGUGCAUUUUCUAUCUAUAUAUGAUCGUCCUUUAAUUCUUGAAGAGCAACUCUAGUUUUAGGAACUUACCUUUUUAGUUGCUCUGUAUCUGAUUUAUAAAGAGAGAAAGUUGAUUUCUUUAAUUGCUCUCUAUGUCUCUCCAUCUGUUUGCUGCCUUCAUUGGCACCGCAGAAAUGGAGGAAACUACACAAUGGCUAUUCAAUAAAUCUACUAGGACAUACUUAGUAGAUUUAACUUAAAUAAAUUCUAGUUUGCCUGUUGUAAAGAGAAGAAUCUACAACAUAGAAGCAGACAUUGCUUCUUGCAGCAAACAAAUGAAGCAAACGAGUCUUCUAGAUACACAUUUUUCCUACUCGUUCAAGAUUUUCAACUUUAUUCUCUCCUGAGGCAAGCUUUGCUGAGCUUGGACCUCUACAUGGUGUCGUAAUUUCGUCAACACUGCAUAUUGUAGUUAGUGAAAAAUCCCUGUUUUUUUUGCUCUAAAAUCUUUAUCGUCAUCGAGUUUUGGAGAAGUCUAUGGAAAUAUUCAAUUGUUACAUAUUGAAAAUAUUUGGAAGGCUCCUGCUUUCGUUCCUAUGGAUGAUUCUGCAUAAUUAUUAAAAUAAAAAGCUCCGCUAGUAUGCAAGAAAUGAAGUAGCAGUGCCUGGUUCAUUUAAAGAUGUACUUACUCAAUCCCGGCCAGCAGGAUCAGUGGUUGGCAGGUAAACACCCUCGCUCUCAAGUUUGAUUUCUCGAUCCUUGGAAGCUGAAGCAGUUAACACAAAAUCUCUGUUGCCUAGAACUCAUUUCGCAUGCGAAACUUCCAAGGAAUCAUUAUCUUUAAAUGACGUACAAGGGUCAUGUGGACAAGAAAGAUGCUGUGAUCUAUGCAGAGAGCAUUGUAGAAUCAUCAAGCAUUAACAUGAAGCAGACAUCCUCCGAAAUCUCUAGAGAGAAUGACCUGCCAAGGGAGAAACCUCCUCUGACUAAAUCUAAGCCUUUUUCCCUUCAGUCUUCGAAUUCUGAGAUUUCCUUCUUAAAUUCAUGGAGUAAUGCCCUGAUCUUCAAGAAGGAUUUGAAAUUAAUUCAGACGUAACAGAUGUAUUGAUGGUUUCCAGUGUCAAUAUGCUUGAGUCACAUAGUCCUGGAAGAAAUAUUGACAGGGCUUCUGGAGGUUCAAGACCAGAUAGCCUUGCAAGUGGCUAUGGAGGAUGAGGAUAAACGGAACCAAUUUCCAGGCCCAUGAUACGGUCAACGGCUGGAAGGUAUACAGCCGCCGAGGAAGUAGGAAGGCAGUUGGGGGAAGCGAGAAAAUCAAGGAAGCAGGCACGGCGAAGCAGCAGAUCGAGGAGUAGAUCGAGUAAAUCAUGGAGUUCCUAUUUUUAUGCAUUCUAGUUAUUUACUUUACAGUAUAAAUAAGUGUAAGCUAGGAAGAUAGAUCAAUUGUUUUGGAAGACUUGGUCGUAGGCCUCUGCAGAGGAUUGUUAUUUCUCUAUAUUCUCUUCAAUAAAAGUGAUCGUUCCCCUCUUUAUCUUUAGUUGCAGCUUGUGGUUUGAUUAGUGACAAUCAGGAGAGCAUAACUCGUGCUCCCUGACUUCCAUCCGCCUUUCACUCCUAACAAUUGGUGCGGUGAACGAUGGUGAACUCUCAAGCGGACACGCGACUGGAUGAAUUGGAGAAGGCAACGGAGGAUUUGCAGCAGGGUAGACUCAUGUUGGACGCGGCAGUGAAGGAGCUGAAUGCCCAGUUCCGCCGCACUGAUGAUCAGGUGACGGAGGUACGAACAGAACUGAGCGCCAUGCUCUAGAAGAUGCGCGCGGGUUUCGCUUCACUGAAACUCAAGGACACUUCCAACCCCGACGACGGAUCCACCUCAGCGGAUCAGGGGUCAAAGACGGCAACCACCGGUGGGGCUUCGGCGUCGCCCAUGCCCACCUUUGAUGGCUCGGACGCCCUCGCAUGGCUUGCACGGGCGGAGCAAUACUUUUUGAUCUCGGGAACCUCUUCCGAGGACCGGGUUGGCAUCGCAAUGCCCUCCCUUGGUACCAGUUGCUGAGACAUCGGGUUCCAGAUCUGACGUGGGCUCGCUUCGCAAGGGAGUUGAUGAAACGUUUUGGCGGCACUGGGGCGUUAAAUGAGUAUGAAGCAUUCGCCGCAGUCCGCCACACUGGCUCUCUGACAGAAUUCGUGGCGGUUUUUUAGGCGCGCCUCGCGCAGGUUCCGGACAUCUCGUGUCCGCAGUACUUGGGAUUCUUCAUGGCAGCACUCUGCCCGGAGGUCCGUCUACAAAUGAAGGCCUCCAAAAUCACUACCUAUGAGGAUGCGGUCGAAUUGGCGCUAGAUAUAGACAUGAUGGCGUCCACCCAACCCCAGCGACCCGCGCCUUCCCAAUCACCCACCCAGGCACACCCGUAUACAGCUCACUCAACCCGUUCUGUCUCAAAGGGGUAACGGCUCCACACGUCGCGCAGCGGGAAUUUGCAGGGACGUGUCUCUAACAUUGGAGAAUGAGGAAUUUGUGGUGUCUUGCUAAGUUUUUUCCCCUCCGGAACAUCGACGUCAUUCUGGGUGUCGCAUGGCUCGCCUCCUUCGGCUAUGCCAUGGCAAAUUGGCAGCGAUCGUCCAUGGAUUUCACAGUAAACGGCCGCCCCGUUUCACUCAAGGGCGACCCGCAUUUCAUGCGCUGGGCUUGCUCCACCCAGGAUCUCCGUUGCCUCGAGGAAGGAGACUGUUGCUGGGUCCUCUACGGAAUGGAGAAAGCGACUGUGGCAGAGCCUUUCGGGAUCAUCUCGGCCCUGUCCUCGGCGGCCCGGUCGCAACUGCUCAAAUUGAUCGAAGAAUUUCCAGCGAUCACAAGGGAGACCACGGGACUGCCCCCCACCGCCGCACUGACCACAGGAUAUCCCUCCUCCCAGGCACCAACCCCGUUUCUGUCCGCCCCUAUCGGUAUAACCACUUGCAGAAAGAUGAAAUGGAGAAGCUCAUCGCCGAGAUGUUGACCUCCGGAGUGAUUCAACCGAGCACUAGCCCUUUUUCUAGCCUGGUCCUCCUCGUCCGCAAGAAAGAUGGUUCAUGGAGGUUUUGCGUAGACUAUAGGGAGCUUAACAAACGGACGGUACCGGACAAAUAUCCUAUUCCAGGAAUUACUCGACGAAUUACAUGGGGCCAGGUGGUUUAGCAAAAUCGAUCUGAAGGCAGGAUACCACCAGAUUCGGGUGGCACCCGACGACGUUCCCAAAACAGCUUUUUGGACCCACUUCGACCAUUACGAGUUCCUUGUUAUGCCAUUCGGCCUCACCAACGCUCCAGCCACAUUCCAAAGUCUGAUGAACGACAUCUUCCGACCGACACUUCAGAAAUUUGUUUAGGUGUUUUUUGACGACAUCCUCGUCUAUAGCGCGACAUGAGCAGAUCAUAUGCACCACCUCCGCCAGGUUUUCGAGGCCCUUAAUAAUCAUACCCUCGUCGUCAACGCAAAGAAGUGUCUUCUAGGUCGGGCUAGCGUCGAAUAUCUCGGUCACAUCGUGUCCUUUGAAGGAGUUAAAAUGGACCCCGCCAAGAUCUCGGCCGUCCUCCGCUGGCCGACUCCAACAUCCUUAAAGAGUGUUCGAGGGUUCCUUGGGUUAACAGGUUACUACCGCCAUUUUAUCCGGGACUACGGCAAGAUUGCGGCCCAGUUGACGGAGCUCCUGAAGAAGCCACUGGCACCCCAACCCAAAGCUGCCUGAAUUUGGCCGACGGCAAUGGCCUCCGCCUUCGACGCUCUCAAAUCAACAUUGACAUCAGCACCGCUCCUCAGGAUGCCGAAUUUCACGAAGGAAUUCGUAAUAGAGUGCGACGCCUCGGGCAGGGGCCUUGGGGCAGUUUUAAUGCAGGACCGUCAGCUGGUGGCCUAUUUCAGCAAUACUUUAUCCUCUCGUUGGUUAGCCAAGUCAGCGUACUAGAAGGAACCCAUGGCCCUCGUCCUCGCAAUCCAUCAUUGGCUCUCUUACUUGUUGGGUCGCCGCUUCGUAGUACACACGGAUCAGCGUAGUCUGCGCCAACUACUAGCCCAUCCCCUAGCUAAUCCGGCGCAACAAAACUGGGCGGCAAAACUCUUAUGCUACGACUUCGCCAUCGUUUACAAGGAGGGCAAGUUAAAUAGGGCGGCCGACGCGCUAUCUCGGCGAGACAAGGAGGCGCUGGAACUCUCGGCCAUUUCAAUUCCGUCAUGGCCAGAGUGGUCGUCGGUCUAGGAGACUCUACCGUCCGACCCGGCCCUCGCUAAGAUCAAGACCGCUUUGGAAGCCGGCCAGCCGACUUUCCCACAAUACGAGUUGAUUCAUGGAACUUUGUUCUACAAUGGGAGGAUAGUCGUUCCGCUCCUCCCUAGAUUCCAAGGUUGCUUGCCGAGUUCCAUAUCACACCUACAGGGGGCCAUUCGGAGGCUUACCGUACGUAUCGCCGGAUUGCCUCAAACGUUUACUGGCCCAGAAUGAUGAAACAAGUCACCAAUUUCGUCGCGGCAUGCGCGACGUGUCAGAGGCAUAAGACCGAGAUAGUCGUUUCGCCCCGUUCUCCCUGGAUUCCAAGGUUGUUUGCCGAGUUCCAUAUCACACCUACAGGGGGCCAUUCGGGGGCUUACCGUACGUAUCGCCGGAUUGCCUCAAACGUUUACUGGCCCGGAAUGAUGAAACAAGUCACCAAUUUCGUCGCGGCAUGCUCGACGUGUCAGAGGCAUAAGACCGAGACCAAGUCUCCAGCCGGUCUCCUGCAGCCCUUACCGAUUCCGGAUCAGAUUUGGGAGGAUAUCAGCAUGGAUUUUGUUUCUGGGCUGCCGAGAGCGGGGGGUCUCGACUGCAUUUUUGUCGUCGUCGAUCGCCUUUCAAAAUACGCUCACUUCAUCGGCCUUAGACACCCCUUCACGGCCCGGCAGGUAGCGGAAUUGUUCACAGGUGAGGUGGUUCGCCUUCAUGGAAUUCAUAGGUCGAUCGUAUCGGAUCGCGACCCUGUCUUCCACAGUUCUUUUUGGAAGGAGCUGUUUCGUGCCACAGGUACCACACUUAAGAUGAGUUCCGCUUACCACCCCGAAACCGACGGCCAGACGGAGGUUUUAAACCAGUGCUUGCAGACAUAUUUGCGUUGUUUUUCAUCUGACCGGCCGAAGCAGUGGAACAAAUGGCUAGCAUGGGCGGAAUACUGUUACAAACAAGCGCUCACUCAGCUUCAGGCAUGACCCCGUUCGAGGCAGUGUACGGUCGCCCCCGCCCACUUGCACGCUUUUCUUCUAGGGGAGGUUCGGGCACAGUCUGUUCUGGACACUCUUCGCUCUCGCGAUGAGGUGUUGGAGCUACUGCACCAUCACUUAAGGCGUGCCCAGGAACGUAUGAGAGCUUCCGCAAACAAGCAGCGCCGGGACGUCGAAUUCAGUGUGGGUGAUAUGGUCUAUUUAAGGUUCCGCCCCCACCGUCAGUCCUCACUCUUCACUGCCCGCAACAGGAAGUUGGCCCCUCGAUUUUUUGGCCCCUUUAGAGUCGAAGCUCGCAUUGGAACGACGGCUUAUCGCCUGCAGCUUCCCGACUCGGCCCGCAUCCACCCGGUGUUCCACGUCUCACUCCUCAAACGUGCCAUUGGAGAGGCACCGGUGGAGGCCACGCUUCCUGACGGCCUCAUCAAUGCUGACCCUCUUUUCCUUCUCGACAAGGUGCUGGCGAGGCGAACUGAGCUGAGGGAGGGCGAACCCGUCGAGCAUGUCCUCAUUAGAUGUGUUCGAUUAGAGGACGAUGACGCCACUUGGAUGGAUGAGGCAGAUGUAAGAGGCCAGUUUCCAUUUUUCAGCCUUGCGGACAAGGCUGUUUCGUCGACCGGGGCAAUUGAUACGGUCAACGGCUGGAAGGUAUACAGCCGCCGAGGAAGUAGGAAUGCAGUUGGGGGAAGCGAGAAAAUCAAGGAAACAGGCACGGUGAAGCAGUAGAUCGAGGAGUAGAUCGAGUAAAUCAUGGAGUUCCUAUUUUUAUGCAUUCCAGUUAUUUACUUUACAGUAUAAAUAAGUGUAAGCUAGGGAGUUCAGAAUAUCGUGGAUAGAUCAAUUGUUUUGGACGACUUGGUCGUAGGCCUCUGCGGAGGAUUGUUAUUUCUCUAUAUUCUCUUCAAUAAAAGUGAUCGUUCCCCUCUUUAUCUGUAGUUGCAGCUUGUGGUUUGAUUAGUGACAAUCAGGAGAGCACAACUCGUGCUCCCUGACUUUCAUCCACCUUUCACUCCUAACAGCCCACUUAUGUCAGGGCGAGGAGAUAUGGGUGCAGAUAUUGGAUAUGCGAAUAAUGUUGUUGGUUUUUGACCUAGUCAUGUAGGUAAUUGUGGUGUUCUAAGGAAUCCACGGCCUCAAACACCCAUGCAUGGUGGGGGCAUCCUCUCGGGGCCAAUGCAGUCCCUUGGUCCUCAGGGAGUAUUGCAAAGAAAUAACUCUGAAUUGGAUUGAUGGCAGCGGGGAACUGCUUUCCAGAAAGGUCUGAUGCCUUCUCCUCAGACACCAACUGUAAUUAUGCGCUUAGCUGAGAAGAAGUAAGUAGGUAAGGUUACUAAUGAUGAAGAAGAGGAACAGAUACAGUUGAAGGGCAUAUUGAACAAACUCACAUCUCAAAAAUUUGAGAAACUGUUCCUGCAAGUUCAGCAAGUCAAUGUCGAUAGUCAUCUUGCAGACUUUGGAUAAAGCUCUGAUGGAGCAUACCUUCUGUGAGAUGUAUGCCGACUCCUUGUUUCACCUUGCUGCGGUCUUGCCAGAAUUGACACUUUCGAGAAAUUACGCUUGAACAAAUGGCAGAAAGAACUUUAGAGAGGAGAAGGAGAAGAACAAGAGGCAAAUGAAGCUGAUGAAGGGGAUAGGAAACAGACAGAAGAAGAGACUGCGUGUUGGGUAAUAUUAGACUAAUUGGAGAAUUAUGCAAGAAGAUGUUGACUGAAAGAAUAAUGCUCGAGUGCAUUGGUAAAUUGAUGGGUCAGUAUCAGAAUACUGGUGAAGAAAACAUAGAAGCUCUGUGAAAAUUAAUGAGCACAAUGAUGUAAUGAUAGAUCAUCCCAAAGCGAAGGACCGCACGAUGCUUAUUUGAUAUCAUUACCCAACUAUCCAAUAACAUGAAGCUGUAAGAUUCAUGCUGACAGAUUCUAUUGAUCUGAGAAAGGAUAAGUGGUAGCAGCGGAGGAAAGUUGAAGGUCUGAAAAAGAUUGAGGAGGUACACAGGGACGCUGCGCAAGAACGGCUAGCUCAAACUAGCAGACUUGGUCGUUUCAAUCAGACAGGGUCUGUCUAUGUAUUUUGCUCCUAAAACUCCUAGUAUGUUUUCUCCUCCAGGUCAAACUAGCAGACUUGGUCGUUUCAUUGUACAGAUGUAUGUAUUAUUGCUUGGCAUCCCUGAGCACUUUGAUAUGGCAUUUAUGGAAUUGGAGCAUUGCCUUAUGACCUAUCUAGUCCUGCACUGUCUCUUUAACAUAUAGAGUGGUUGUAUUGUGUUAAAAGUAUGCAUGGUGGUUUACAGUGGAUUCCUUGAUCACCCUAAAAAAUAUUAGAUCCUAGUCAGUUUGAACUUUGAACACUGUAAAGCUAAUAUGGGUAAUACACUACUGCCUUAAUCUCAAACUACUUGAAAUUUUGAUAUUGAACUCAUAACAUGACCAAAAGAGAAAUGAUAGAUAUCAGUGGCCAUGGUGUGUUCAGGAACAUUAACUAUUGAAAAUAUUUGGUUGGAUGUAGAGCAUAUGCAGUUGGCGAGAUUUCGUGAUUAGAUGAUUAUGUUUUUAAUUUUUUUUUGCAUUAAAUUUCACCCUUAUUCUGUGUGAUUCUGCAUAUGCAUUUGGUGAGAUUAUACCUGGUCGCGAACAAUAAUAGAGACAGUGAGGAGGUCUCAGCUUCUAAUGUUUUCCUGCAGAAGGUAUUUAUCACCUAAUUCUCUCAUGUGGAAUGUUCAUCAGAUGUGUCGGUAAUCGGUAUACCAUGCAUUUAACUCGUCUAAACAACACUACACAAGUAGUAAUAUAUUUUGUAUGUAUUUGUUUUGGUAGUAUGUUGAGUUCUUGCAUUCUGGUAAAAUAUUAAUAUGUCAAAUGGCAGUCGAUUAAUAUGUGCUGCAUCGUUUGUAACUGAUGGUAUUUUUUACUUUUGGUUACUCACAGACGGUAUUCUGUUUACAGGACUCCGGACAAUGUUAUCUCCACUCCGCCCACCAAUGGAACGAUUCUUGAAAGAAUUAUGCAUAAAAGCAACAUGGAUAUUGCAAGGUUGAGGAGCGUUCUAUUCCGAUUGAAGAACUACUUCAGGCAGACGAAGUUCUCUGCACUGGAACUGCAGUUUGUGUUCCUCCUGUAGAAGUAUUACAUAUACUAGGGUAACAGGUAAUUUCUAACUCCUAAGGCUGCAGUGCUGUAAGUAUUAAUUGCUUAGCUGCAAUUGAUAAUUCAAGUUGAAGCAUGAAAUCAAGCUGCAUUGGCUAAGAACACUCAGGAGCCGUCAGAUGCGAGGCGGAGCAGACUUUUAAUCCUGGCCGUAGGAUUUGAUUUUUUUGGUUAAAUUCGUUAGGCGCUAGUUUAAAUAGAAGAGAAAGAGGGAAAUUGUUUUUCAUUCCCUGCAAAUUCGAUUCUGUACAAUUCCACUCAAGAAAUAAAAGUUU